rnacentral:lncRNA from 1 species
UGAUGCCGGUGGCUGUGGAGCUAGGUCACAGGCAUACACACACACACAUUCGUUCAAUGGCAAUGCACUUUGAGAAGAAAAUGUUUUGGAGAAGGGUUGAGUGAAAAACUUAUAAUGGUUUCCCCUGCACAGCCUGCCCCGGAAAGCAGGGACUAUACUGCCUAGAGGGGCAGCUGCUGUGGGUUGGAGUGUGUUUGUUUGUCCGUCCGUGUACGUGCAUAGCGGUGUCCCAGCGCCUGUGCUUGACCAGCUGGUUGUCUGUGCACGGCCGUUGCCUGUGCUCGUUCUGCACCGAGAGGUUCCCCUAGCCCGGGAGGCGGGGCCGACCCGCCCUGUCUCCGCCCAGCCGCCCGCCCCAGGGGGACUCGCUGCCGGCCCGGGCCUAGACCGCGCGCUAGACCGGGGUUUUGCGCACUGGCUGCGGACCGAGCGCCGGGCUAGGGAGACCAGCGGCUGGCGCUGGGCCGCAUGGAGUUGCUGGCGCUGCACACGCGGCGGCGGCGCGGGGCGCUGCUCCCGCAGGAGCCGGGAGAACCGGAGCGCAAACGAGUAUGCAAGAGUUUAGAGACCGUUCCAAAUGAGAGUGAUUUUUGCCACCAAUUAAAUGAAUGUGCUAUGGAUUACUGGACUAUGGAGCUGGAUUCUAAACAGAAAGGUACCACAGAACAAUUUAUUCCUCAGACUCCUAAGGAAAAGCCAAAUUCAAUGAUUUUUCAAAAUCAUGGAAGCAAAGGUACUGCCCAGCCUUGCCCAAGAUGUAUUGCAGGAGAAUCUGGACACUUCAAUCAUAUUAUGGGCUUCUAG